rfam:Triticum aestivum genome assembly, contig: Triticum_aestivum_CS42_TGACv1_scaffold_423271_5BS
AUUCUACUCCCUCUGUUGCACAAUACAUGCCUUCUAUUUAUCAAAAUAUAUAUGUAUCUAGACAUGUUUUAGUAUAUAGGUACAUCCAUUUUUGGACAAAUGGAAGUCAAGUAUUUUGGAACGGAGGGAGUACACC